AGGCCCCCUCCAUACCACGUCCGUGCUAUUGCUGACAGCAGAGCACCAGAGCAUUGCUCCUUUGGAGCUGGCAGCUGAGAGCAGCAGCUAGCACACCGGCUUCAGGCAGGACUUGCCUGACAGCACGACGUGGUGCUUACCUGCACUGAAGGACUCGCAGUGUUGCUUACACUGGUGGGAACCCCCCAGUGAGUUACUCUGCUGGAUAGAGGAUUGUGCAGGAGUCUGCUGACCAGGACCCGAGUCAGAGUCCUAAGCAAAAAGAAGGUACAAGAGUCCCUACCCUACACGUACAUUUUUUGGCAUCUGAUGCUGAUUGUUGUGCUACUGGACAAACCAGAUCAAAUAAGGAUCCCUUCUGGUCUAAAGUAAGUGACACUUGGGUGGAAUCGUGCUGGCCUAGCACUGGGCUUGGCUGGCUUCAUCCAGCCUGGUGGGGUGGUUUGUAUUAGCAACAGUCUCCCGGGAACAAUCCUGUGCUCUCAGCACCAUCUCACAGCGCAGGUUGGUCAAGCAGCACUGCAACGCAGAAACAAGCCCAAACUGUACCCGAGCCAAGCAGCAGCACAGGUCCAGUACUGCAAGGCUCUCUUCGGGGAGCCUCGGGUGGCUUUGUGAGGACACUCCAUUUAAUGAGUCUUUCUGCAGGCUUGAAUGCUGGGAAGCUGCGAAGCUGGGAGCUGGCUCCAAAUAUCCUCAUAGGUUGCUUUACACCUGCACCCAGCAGACUGCAGAAAGAUGGAGUAGUCUCAGGCUUUGGUCCCUGGAUGGUGGCGUCUGAGGAGAGGCACUGACAGCCUUGCAGACUUGCUACUGGAGACAAACAGUAAGUGAGGCGACAGGAGGAUCUCAGAGGGUUUCAGCAAUGGGGGGAAUUUUAAUCCUUGCCAGUGUAGGUUUAGACAAGGAGUGAGAAGUGGGACAAUUCCCCUCUUACCCCGUUGUCAGUAAAAUGGAGUAUCUCCUCCUUCAUCUGUAGGCCCAGCUUACUUUGCACUGACAAAAUGACAAACGCAAAUUGCAGACGUUAAAAAAAUUUAUUUGAACAAAUAUUUGACACAAUCACAGAGGAAGAAAGCAGCUCUCAGUACAGUUUCUUUUCCAGAAUGAAAGAAUCCCUGUUUUAUACCAAGUUACUGCAGGACAACGCUUGCUCCCCCCUGCAUGAGGGGAAGCUGCUGUUCUUUGCACCUGUGGGUUUGCUCCAUACAAGGUUAGCACAGUCCUUAGCAGGUCGCACCAGAGCCCGUGGUCUCUGGUUCUAGAAAUGAAGAAGUUCUCUUCAGGUUCAAGAAAUGCAUAAAGACCCAACAGACAAACUGAAUUUGUGGUGCUCUAGCUAUCACCUUCGCACUCUCCAUCUUAGGACCCCUCGCUGGACCCAGAUGGCAUUUAGGUGGGGGGAGUCCUGUCAGCUCGCAGCUCAUUUUGACACACCGGUCUGUUCAGGUCUCUGAGCCUUACCCUACAAGCAGCUCCACAGCUGUGGGCCUCAGCCCUCUGCAAGAAGACUUGCCCACCCAGGGAGACAGCAGGCUUGUGUCACAUCC
ensembl:lncRNA